AAUAGAUACCCGGGUAGUCCACGCCGUAAACGUUGGGCGCUAGAUGUGGGGACCAUUCCACGGUUUCCGUGUCGCAGCUAACGCAUUAAGCGCCCCGCCUGGGGAGUACGGCCGCAAGGCUAAAACUCAAAGGAAUUGACGGGGGCCCGCACAAGCGGCGGAGCAUGCGGAUUAAUUCGAUGCAACGCGAAGAACCUUACCAAGGCUUGACAUAUACGAGAACGCUCUAGAAAUAGAGAACUCUUUGGACACUCGUAUACAGGUGGUGCAUGGUUGUCGUCAGCUCGUGUCGUGAGAUGUUGGGUUAAGUCCCGCAACGAGCGCAACCCUCGUUCUAUGUUGCCAGCGGUUCGGCCGGGAACUCAUAGGAGACUGCCGGGGUCAACUCGGAGGAAGGUGGGGAUGACGUCAAAUCAUCAUGCCCCUUAUGUCUUGGGCUUCACGCAUGCUACAAUGGCCGGUACAAAGGGCUGCAAUACCGCAAGGUGGAGCGAAUCCCAAAAAGCCGGUCUCAGUUCGGAUUGAGGU
rnacentral:rRNA from 1 species